rnacentral:rRNA from 1 species
UACGUAGGGGGCAAGCGUUGUCCGGAAUCAUUGGGCGUAAAGCGCGUGUAGGCGGCCCGGUAAGUCCGCUGUGAAAGUCGGGGGCUCAACCCUCGAAUGCCGGUGGAUACUGUCGGGCUAGAGUACGGAAGAGGCGAGUGGAAUUCCUGGUGUAGCGGUGAAAUGCGCAGAUAUCAGGAGGAACACCCAAUUGCGAAGGCAGCUCGCUGGGACGUUACUGACGCUGAGACGCGAAAGCGUGGGAGCAAACAGG